rnacentral:rRNA from 1 species
GCUCAGUAACACGUGGAUAACCUACCCUUAGGACUGGGAUAACCUUGGGAAACUGAGGAUAAUACUGGAUAGGCAAUUUUUCCUGUAAUGGUUUUUUGUUUAAAUGUUUUUUCGCCUAAGGAUGGGUCUGCGGCCGAUUAGGUAGUUGGUUAGGUAAUGGCUUACCAAGCCGUUGAUCGGUACGGGUUGUGAGAGCAAGAGCCCGGGGAUGGAACCUGAGACAAGGUUCCAGGCCCUACGGGGUGCAGCAGGCGCGAAACCUCCGCAAUGUGAGAAAUCGCGACGGGGGGAUCCCAAGUGCCAUUCUUAACGGGAUGGCUUUUCAUUAGUGUAAAGAGCUUUUGGAAUAAGGGCUGGGCAAGACCGGUGCCAGCCGCCGCGGUAACACCGGCAGCUCUAGUGGUAGCAGUUUUUAUUGGGCCUAAAGCGUCCGUAGCCGGUUUAAUAAGUCUCUGGUGAAAUCCUGUAGCUUAACUGUGGGAAUUGCUGGAGAUACUAUUAGACUUGAGACCGGGAGAGGUUAGAGGUACUCCCAGGGUAGAGGUGAAAUUCUGUAAUCCUGGGAGGACCGCCUGUUGCGAAGGCGGCUAACUGGAACGAACCUGACGGUGAGGGACGAAAGCUAGGGGCGCGAACCGGAUUAGAUACCCGGGUAGUCCUAGCCGUAAACGAUGCGGACUUGGUGUUGGGGUGGCUUUGAGCUGUUUCGGUGCCGUAGGGAAGCUGUUAAGUCCGCCGCCUGGGAAGUACGGUCGCAAGACUGAAACUUAAAGGAAUUGGCGGGGGAGCAC